CCUGGUUGAUCCUGCCAGUAGUCAUAUCUUGUCUCAAAGAUUAAGCCAUGCAUGUCUAAUGCAUGCACACAUAGUGAAACCGCGAAUGGCUCAUUCGUCAGUUAUGGUUCAUAGAUGUGCAAUCUACUUGGAUAACUGUGGUAAUUCUAGGCUAAUACAUGGCUUUGGCUCUGACCUCGCGGAAAGAGCGCGUUUAUUAGAUCAAAACCAUCCCGGGUUCGCAAGGGCCCGUCGGAUUGGGUGAGGCUGGAUAACUUUGUGCUGAUCACGGCCUCGCGCCGGCGACGUAUCUUUCAAAUAUCUGCCUUCUCAACUUUCGAUGGUACGUGAUAUGCCUACCAUGGUUGUAACGGGUAACAGGAAUCAGGGUUCGAUUCCGGAGAGGAGCAUGAAACGCUUCCACCACAUCAGGAAGGCAGCAGGCGCGCAAAUUACCCUCCUGGCACGGGGAGGUAGUGACGAAAAAUAACAAUACGGGACUCUUUCGAGGCCCCGUAAUUGGAAUAGUACACUAAACCCACUAACGAGGAUCUAUUGGAGGGCAAGUCUGGUGCCAGCAGCCAUGGUAAUUAGCUCAAUAGCGUAUAUUAAAGUUAUUUGCAGUUAAAAAGCCUCAUGGUUGGAUCUCCGGGUCCAGGCUUGCGGUCCGACGCCUGUCGGUUACUGCUCGUCUGACCUACCUCCGGUUUUCUUAUGGUGCUCUUGACUGAGUGUCUCGGGUGGCGGAACGUUUACUUUGAAAAAUUAGGUGUUCAAAGCAGGCAAUAUCGCCUGAAUAAUGGUGCAUGGAAUAAUGGAAUGGGACCUCGGUUCCUAUUUUGCUGGUUUUCAGGCUCGAGGUAAUGAUUAAGAGGGACUGACGGGGGCAUUCGUAUUACGGUGUUGAGGUGAAAUUCUUGGAUCGCCAUCAAGACGAACUACAAAACAUUGCCAAGCAUGUUUUCAUUAGUCAAGAACGAAGUCAGAGGUUCGAAGACGAUCAGAUACCGUCGUAGUUCUGACCAUAAACGAUGCCAACUAGCGAUCCAUGAGUUGCUUCAAUGACUCGGCAGGCAGCCCCGAAACCAAGUUUUUGGGUUCCGGGGAUAUGGUUUAAGCUGAAACUUAAAGGUGACGGAAGGGCACCGCAAAUUGGAGCCUGCGGCUUAAUUGACUCAACAGGGAAAACUCACCGGCCCGGACACUGUAGUUGACAGAUUGAGAGCUCUUUCUUGAUUCGGUGGGUGGUGGUGCAUGGCCGUUCUUGGUUGGUGGAGCGAUUUGUCUGGUUAAUUCCGAUAACGAACGAGACUCUAGCCUACUAAAUAGUUCGCCGAUCCCCGUUUGCGUCGGCGCAGCACUUAGAGGGACAAGUGGCGUUUAGCCACACGGAUUAAACAAUAACAGGUCUGUGAUAGCAUAGAUGUUCAGGGCCGCACGCUACUGAAAAGGAAUCAGCGUGUCUCUGCCCUUGCCUGGAAAGGUCGGGUAACCCGUUGAACCUCCCUUCGUGCUGGGAUUGGGAGCACAAUUCUUCCCAUAGUUGAGGAAUUCCCAGUAAGCGCGAGUCAUAAGCUCGCGUUGAUUACGUCCUGCCCUUUUUACACCGCCCGUCGCUACACCGAUUGGGCGUUUUGGUAAACGCCUCAGUUGGACGGAAAUGGUUGGCAACAACCGUACCGGUGUGCCGAAAGACGCAAACCCAGACGCCUAGAAGGUAAAAAGUCGUAAAAGGUUUCCGUGGUGAGCCUGCGGAGGAUCAUU
rnacentral:rRNA from 1 species